AUCUGCCUCAGUUUCCCCAUCUGUAAAGUGGGAAUUAUAACUGUAGUCACCAGGGCAGGGCUGUGCCUUAAUUAGCUAAUUGUCCUAAAAGGCUUUGAAGAGGCCCAUAGAAGUGGCAGUUUAAGCGUUAAGUAUUAUUAUUAGAUGGACCACACCAUCCUGCAGCCAGCCCCGGGGAGACUAACCACUGGUUUGGAGUCGUCUCUUGACGUUGGCAGAAACUGUGCUUCAAAACCAGGGCCCCAGGGAAGUGGCAUGUGAUGUCCCCUGGUUAGACAGAGAUCAGCAAAAUGCAGGUUGGUCUCUCCUUGAACAAGAAAUGGUGCUGCCUCCUGGCAGGGACAAGGGACACCAGGGGGAAACAGGGGCCAGGCAGAUGAGGGGGAAGGGACAGAGAAAGACCAAGUUGGUGAGACCCAACGUUCGUUCGUCAUUCAACAAAUAUUUACAAAAUCCUUUUUUUAUGUGCUAAAUACCAAGGGUGGUGGAAAGGGGAAUAAGACACAGUUUCUACCCUCAAGGAAUUUACAAUCUGGUUUGACGUCACAGGCACAAAUAUCUAUCAAAAAAAAAAGAGAGAGACAGGAGAAGGGUCAUUGGCUUUGGGAGAAGCAAGCUGCUAUGUGGUCAGCAGCUGGGUGGAGAGACCUUUGUGGUGAGGAACUGAGGCCUCCAAGCAACAGCUAGAGGGGAACUAAGACCUGCUGGCAGCCAUGUGGAUGAGCUCGGCAAUUUCUGCAAAGCUUGUCAAAUGACUGCAGCCCUGGCCGACGGCUUGAUCACAGCUCUCCAAAUUCUUAACCUUCUGCGUACUCUGGGAGGGGUCACCUAAAAUCUGAUGGAUCCGGGUAGAAGAGAAGAGAGAGUCAGGACAGCGGUGAAGAAACCAGCGUUUCUCCACGUUCCCAUGAUUCUUCUGAAACUGUUGGAGUGGAAAUCUUUUCACCUUUGCACUUAGAAUAAAGCAACUCAGCAUGAACAAUAGGUUGGCUUCUGCAUCCUCUUUGGUAAGCAAGCGCUUCUGCCGCUGAGCUCAGUUUUCUGGUCUAAAGGUCGGGAGCAGGCUUGUGUAACCCUCGGGAUGGUGAAUGUAGAGAUGGAAGGGUGAGAGCAGCCAGGAGAGACUCAGGUGAACUUCCGGCUUUGCCACUAUCGAACUGUCCCUUAGGCAACGCCAACUUCUCUCUUUAAGCCACAGUUCCCUCGUGGCUACAAAAUAAAGGGAUCAAACGAGAUGGUCUCUAAACUCCGUUUGGCUCUGAUGUGACUAUACGCUAACUUGUUCCCCUUCUCCUUGGGGCAUUUAAAUGGUGGAACUGUGUAUGAGUUCAAGUAACCAUUCACCGUGGGCCUGGAGGGCAUGAGCUGCGAUGGGCCUGAAUGCAGCUUUGGAACAGGUGCACGCAACGCAGCAUCUCUGAGAUAGUUCACAACGACUUGAGGUGGCAUGUUUAUAUAAGAAGGGAAAUUCAAGCUCAGAGUGAUGAGGUGACAUUCAUCGAAACAGCCCUGGAUCUCAAUCUACUUGCUCUUCUUCAUAUUGAACAACUCACUCACUUACACGUCUGGCAAAUAGCGCUGCUGACAUCUAUUCUUCAGGUUGCAAACUGACCAUUUUGCACAGAUUUUUUGGAAUGUGCUCCUAGAGAGGAGGUCUACCCCUGACUUUGCAAUUAAGCAGCUUUGAGACUCGGGGCAAAUCACUUUCUGCUUGCAGGACUCAGUCUACUAAUUUAGGUCAUGAAAUAGCUGAACUAGUCUAAUGUAUUUCAAACCCCUUUUAUCAGCUAAAGCAUUUCCUCCUGAAGAAUCUUCUAUGGAACAACAAUUUAUAAAAGUAGAAUUUUCUAGUGAAGACCUGCUGAUGGGCCUCUUUGUCCACGGCUGUAAUGACUGGAGCCUUGUGGAAACCAGGUUGAAUAAGGUUGAAUUGAAGAACCUUUAAAGUCUCCUCCAAGGAUGAUAUUUGGUUAUUCUAAUUCUGUGCAUAGAAAAGGAGUCAUAAUGGCAUCAGGUCUGGCAUGUCAUUGAAAUGGAAUGCUGUGUAGGUUCCAUUUCUUUGGAAAAAUUCCAUGUCACAGGGAAACUGCCAGGCUGAUGGGAUUCUUCAUCUGGGUUUGUACAAUGCAGGAUGAUUAGAUUCAGGGAAAAGACCUUCCAUCUUAUUUCAUUUACUUGGGGACCACUGUAAUUGGUAGUGGGGGGGCUGGUGUGGAAUUUCUGUGUAACCUGGGUGCUUGAAUCAAUUAUUUCUUAGUAAACACCAGACAUUCAUAUUUGAGGACUCGCUCAUUCAUUUCUACUAUUCAUAAUAAAGGCAAAUAAUUGAAUGAUACGUGAUUGCCAUUCUUGCCUAUUAUAAUUUUCAAACCAUUCAUGAAAAAGCCAACUGAAAUAUGUUCACAUUGAAUUUCAUAUGUGUUCACAUACGUAAAUAUCACAUAUAUCUGUGUAAUGCAUGCUUAUCUAACAUAAAAAUAACAUAAAGAUAUUUAUCAUAUUUUUGUACAUUUGAUAUGCCUAAAAAAUUUAAGGAGAUAAAACAUUUUGGUGUUAGGUUGAUAGUAAUUGUUUUUUAGAAUGAACACAAUCUAUUUGUUAACUAAUACAAUGUUGCAUUAAAGUUGCAUUUUUGUUUGUAUUCCUUAAAGCAGUAUUCUGUGCCUCAUUGUUCUCACCCUCAUUCAAAGCACCCAAGGGUUGAAAGUGGUGGAAGCCUGCCGGGCUCUGACUGCCUGUUGCAGCUCACAACCAUGUCCCUCAUUUUGAUCCUUGAUCAAAUGCUUGCGUUCGCUUCGCUCUCUCUGGUAUCUGAACGUACGUAAUGUAGUAUCCUGCAAUCCAGCUAGACCAGAGACAGAGAUGGUAUAUUGACCCUCAUCUAUCUGAUGCAGGUGUAUAUUCUUCAUGUGGUUUGGAACUGGAAGGGGGAGAGAGAUAUGGGUUUAUUGGCUCCCUUCAACCCCAGUGGUCCAUUCGGGGUUUUAGUGAUCCAUUAUCUGGUUAGUCACUCUAACUGGAUAAGCGCCUGCAGGGCGGGGAUCAGCCUGUAGUCCAGGGCUCUACGACUUGUAACCUAGGAAUAAAUUCUGGAUGAGCUUAACUGAAAUUCCACCACAGCCUCCUCAGUGCCUACUACAAUACGUUGCACCAGGAGGUGCUCAGUGAACACCUCCUGCAUGAAUGAAUGGAUUACAUGGGCAUUUGUGCAUGGCGUAAACCAGAUUCUGGUGGGGCCUUGGGUGAAAUGCUGUGCUGAGUAUUGUCCACUUCCCCUUCCGAGUCUACUCUCUACCCUGCUCUGCUCUGCCAGGCGGACCUUGAUGGACAGAAUUAAGGGCUCCUUUGCCCUCUGGCUUUGCGUUAGAUUUGGCAAGUGGGAGGCCCUAGCAGAGGAGGGCAGAGUGAGAUUGGACUAUUCAUUCCCCAGCUCCCUUACUGCUGGGUCAUGGGCACAGACGUUGGUAGAAGGCCCUCUUGGAUGGUUGGAGGCCUCUCCAGCACCUGGUACCUCUCCCUUCUCCCGCCCCUCAGGGAAAAAGGCAGAAAGGGCUCCCUGCUGUUGCUAGGUCUGGGGUGCUGCACCCCCUUUCUUAGUUUCCCCUAACCAGCCCAGAGCUUUGUAAAAACUCCCUUUGUUAAC
rnacentral:lncRNA from 1 species